UCUCUUGAAGUUUUGACUUUCAGUCAUUGCCCAAAUCUCAGAUCCUUGCUAGAUCUUCCAUCCUCACUUUUGUCGCUAUAUAUUUAUAAAUGUCCUUUGAUUAAAAAAGAGUGCAAAAGGAAUGAAGGACAAGAAUGGUCCAAGAUAGUUUACAUCCCUUGCGUUAAGGUAGAUGAUAAAUUCAUCCACACUCUGGAAGAGGAAAUGAGCUGAAUCCGAUAGUAAUUUAUUCCAUCAUUGUAAUCAAUUUAGGGAGAAAUUGAAUAGUCUGACUCCUGGAUGCAAAAAUGCCAACAUUGCAAUGGCAGUGGUAUUUUUUCUUCCACCUAGUAAUUCAUAGAGCUUAAUUUGGAUAUGGAAGACAAUGAUACACCAUGUAGAUUACAGAGCUUUGGAGGUGUUGGUGUUCAAAUUUUGCAGUCUAGAUUGCUGUAGUGCUAUGGGAAUAUCAGUGAAGAUUCUGUUGAAGCCUCUCAAAGGAAAAAAGAAAAAAGAAACAGCAAUCCACAAGAGGAAGAAUGGAGAUUCAAUUCAUUAUUUAGGGGAUGCCCUUGUACUCUUUUCAGCUCAAUGAAGAAAGAGGCUAACAACCGAGCUCACCACGUUGUGGAUACAACAAUACAA